rnacentral:rRNA from 1 species
AUGAAGAGGAACGGUGCCAUUCUGGACCUUUUUCGAAAACAUGAAGAGAAAGCGAGGAAGAUUGCUACUGAACAUCACACUGAAGUUAUUGAAAAUGUGCGGUGUCCUAAUUCCCCACCUCCAAUCCAUUCCGAUACGGACAUGGAUACAGAUACUGAGAUCGAUGUUGAAAUUGAAGAUGCAACGCCAAGUCUUCCAUCACCCCAACAGCCAAGUGCACAUGUCUUUUCAGGUGAUCCAGGGAAAAGAACUCCUAUUUUAGAGUAUGCUUUUAAUGAUCAAGAUAGUGUUCGAAGAAGAUACAUUGCAAAAACUGCAUGCCGACCAUAUGCACAUGCUUUUCAAGUCAGGAAAAUCUAUGGUAAAAAUCGACACUUUAGUUUUGUUUGGUUUGAAAAGUACAGUUGGCUAGAAUAUAGUGUCUCAAAGGAAGCAGCAUAUUGCUUUGUGUGCUAUUUGUUCAAAGGGAAAACUAAUGGGGGGCCUAGGGGUGAUGCCUUUGUUAAAACUGGUUGGAGAAAUUGGAACAAACCUGAUGCACUGGACAAACAUAUGGGCGGUAUUGGUAGCAUUCACAACCAAGCUCAAGAGAAGUACAAUUUAUUUGUGACGCCUCAAACGUCAGUUUGUAAUACCAUGGUGAGGGUGUCUAAACAUGAUCUGCGUCUUUACAAGGCUAGGCUAACUUAUUCACUAAGAUGCUUGAGGUUUCUUUUGAACCAAGGAUUGGCAUUUCGUGGACAUGAUGAGAGUGAAGAAUCUAGCAAUAGGGGGAACUUUCUUGAACUUCUAAAAUGGCUUGCAGAAAAUGAUGAAGAAGUUGAUAAGAUUGUUUUGCACAAUGCUCCUGGAAACUGCAUCUUGACUAGUCCAAUGAUACAAAAACAAAUUAUUGAAUGUUGUGCUGUGCUAACUACAAAACAAAUUAUUGAAGAUCUUGGUGAUGAGCACUAUGCAAUCCUAGCUGAUGAGUCUAGUGAUGCAUCUCAUAAAGAGCAACUUGCUAUUUGCAUACGUUAUGUUGAUAAAGUUGGAAAGGGGUGUGAGAGGUUUCUUGGAGUUGUUCAUGUUGCCAACACAACUUCCUUGUCACUUAAAGCUGCAAUUGAAUCUUUGCUUACCGAUCAUCAUUUGACUCUUACUCAAAUCCGUGGGCAAGGAUAUGACGGGGCUAGCAACAUGAAAGGAGAGAUUAAAGGGUUGAAAACAUUGAUCAUGAAAGACUCGCCCUCUGCUUAUUACAUUCAUUGCUUUGCACAUCAACUUCAAUUGGUUCUUAUUGCCGUGGCAAAGGGAAAUGAACCAUGUAAAUGGUUUUUUGAUCAUGUUUCUUACUUGCUGAAUAUUGUUGGAGUUUCUUGCAAGCGUCAUGACAUGCUUCGAGAUGUUAGAGCUCAAAAGGUUCUGGAAGCACUUGAAAUGGGUGAAAUUGAAAGUGGAAGUGGGUUAAAUCAAGAGAUGGGAUUAGCUAGACCCGGUGAUACUCGGUGGGGUUCUCAUUUUCGAACCAUUCUGCACAUUAUUACCAUGUACCCCACAAUACUAGAAGUACUUGAUACUAUUGGAAAAGAUCCUUCACAAAGUGGUGAGUGGACAAGAAUACGUGCAGUGGCUUUUGCCUUGGAGUCAUAUGACUUUGUUUUCAAUCUUCACGUGAUGCUUGUUAUUCUUGGCCACACUAAUGAGUUGUCUCAGUCAUUGCAAAAGAGAGAUCAAGAUAUUGUUAAUGCAAUGGCACUUGUUAGUUUGGCAAAGAAUAAAAUGCGACAUAUGAGGUCUCAUGGCUGGGAAGAAUUUCUUGCAAAGGUGACAUUGUUUUGCAACAAACAUGGCAUUGAAGUUCCUACACCAGAGGAUAAUUAUGUGCCUCAUGGAAGAUCACCUCGGUAUUAUCAAGUGCAAACAAAUGAUGAUCGUUAUAGAAGAGAAGUAUAUCUUGGUAUCCUUGAUCAAAUCAUUCAAGAGCUUGACAAUAGGUUUGAUGAGGUUAAUAUGGAGUUGCUUAUUUGCAUGUCUGCUUUGAACCCCGCCAAUUCAUUUGCUUCUUAUGAUGCACUCAAGGUAAUGAAACUUGCUGAAUUCUACCCCCAGGACAUAUCAAGCAUGGAUUUGGUAAGGCUUGAAUUCCAACUUGAUACUUUUAUUGAUGAUAUGAGACAAGAUGAUAGGUUCAGAUCUGCGCGUAAUAUUGGUGAACUCUCUGUUAUGCUUGUCGGUACAAACAAACAUGUUCUCUAUGAUUUGGUCUACAUGCUUAUCAAAUUGGUAUUGAUCUUACCGGUGGCCACAACGAGUGUUGAAAGAGUAUUUUCGGCGAUGAAUCUAGUGAAAAAUAAGUUGAGAAAUAGUAUGAGUGAUGAUCUCAUGAACAACUGUUUAGUAACAUUCAUUGAGCGAGACGUGUUCUUGAAAGUAAGCGAGGAAGACAUAGUUGAAGAUUUCAUGGCAAUGGAACGUCGUAGAGUUACUUAG